GGGACCGACCCGGGAGCCCCGGGGACGGCUCGGCGCGAGGCACCCACCUCCCCGGCCGCCGCGGGGCCCCGCAGCCCCCGCCCGGCCGUCUGGAGGGCGGGCCGGGAGGGAAACCGCACCAGGGGCGUCCUCGGCUCCCGCGAGCUGCGCGGACCCGAGUGGCGUCCUCCGGCCCCGGGGACAAUGGAGGGAGGGGAAAAAAGGGUUAAGAAACUUGGCUGAAGCGCUGAAUGGCGUGGGGCGGCGAGGGGAGGGGCUGGGCCGCGGCCGCCGGCGGCGGAGGGAGGAGCGCGGCUGCGGGCGGCGGGAGCGAGGCGCUCGAGUCAGCCGCGCAGGCAUUGCAGCAGAGCCCCGAACGCGGGAGGCGGCGGCGGCGGCGAGGUCGGGGGACGACACGGCCCACGCCCGCCCGUGGCCUCGCGUCCGCCGCUGCGCUCGGAGGAAAGAGCUCGCCGGGGGAGGUCGGGCGCGGGCGCCUCCGCGGGGCCAGCCUGACGGAGCCCGGGCGCGGAGCCGCGGCGGCUCGGGAAUUGUUUGGAUUGUGAGCUAUUUCAGAACUCUGUUCUCAGGACCCAUUAUUUUAACAUUUGAGAGAAACACUUCCAGAAGGAUCACCUGAAGGAUAAAGAAGAGCAUCUCAAACCAAUGAGACUAAAGGAGGAGCAAGGAAUCUGAAGACUCCAGAUGACAUCAGGAUUACUUUUCAACAGCCUUCUCAGUGUCCUUUCUCAGAAAGCAGAGACUCAAACCUUGGAGACAGAUGACAUAAAAUGUGCUGGAACUUGUUACCAGUGUUGGCUUGGCAGCUGUGAGUCGGAGAUGCUUACUCAAGGAGAAGUCAUUUUAUUUGUGGAUACUUGGUAAGGUCAUUCCUAGUUGUGUGCCCUGUCAGUACCCUGGCUUUCAAGUGCUAGUCCUUUUAAUGACAUGUGAACCUCUAAAUACUUCUCCUAUGAUGAUUCUUCCUACUCCAGGGGGUUUAGGGCUUUGUUCAUUUUCUUAAUGAUUUUACAGAGUAAAGUUACUUCUUCAGGGAGCAAGAAGUCUUCCCUUGGAAGUCUGCUCUUUCUCUCCUUUGUUUGACCUUCCCCUCCACUUGCUUCAACCUGAUCCCUGAUGCUGGCCCUCCUUUUCUGAGAGUACAGUCUGCUCUCUGGCACAUAGCUACUUGGCCCUAGUGACUCCUGUUCUUUUUCAUUCCUACCCUCUUACCUUGGCUGAUACUCUGUUAAAUUCUUUCUGAGGUCUUAGCAGGACAGUCAGUCUCUAGAGUAUUUGACGACUCACCUCAAAGUACAUGGGAGUUCUGGGAACGCAUUGUGUACCUGUCAGCUGCAUGGGCGUACCAGGAUGGCCGAGGUUCAGGCUCUUCAUCCACUGACAGCUCAGUAGUGUUUUUACUCAUGGUCUUUUUACUAUGUGCUGGUGUGAUGGUGUGAGCUGUAAUUUAGGGACUUAUCAUUGUGAAUAAUAAAAACCUGAAUUAGAUUAAAUCGUGGGGACUUUUUAUUUUUUAAUAUGUACCAACAUAGUAGGCACUCAUUAAAUGUAUAAGUUUUUUUUUUUAUUCUCAUUAGUGUUUGUAUAUGACGCUCUUAGCUCCAGCAAUCACAUUAUGGUUUAAGCCAGACCUCUCUCUUAAUAGCCAAGGGAAAUAUGCCAUCACACCAUUCGGAAAGGUGGAUGUUGCUGCCUUAAUAAGCAAAACCCUUACCUGGUGCUUCAUGGAGAUUGUUAUUUGAAGUGUACAAAAUUAAAAUCUCCAACAGAAUCUGAUUCUGACUCUGUUAAAUACCUCUAUAGGAGUUCUUAGUUUUCUUGAAACCUCGUACAUCAUGUCAACAUAGUGUUUUACAAACAUAAUUUUGAGCGUAUAGUUAUUAUUUUCAUUGUUUUUUAUUUAAUGAAUUUGCUAUUUUAAAUAUCCUAUUUUAUAGUACUAUUAUGAUACAAAUUGCUUUCUAAAUAUUCAGACCAAUCUUUACUGUUUUUCAGUUGUCUUUUUUUUUUCAUCUCUCCUGCCCUUACCUUAUUUUGUCUGUUUUCUGCUCUGCACUACUUUGUCUCAUUUUAUUCUCCAAAGCCAUCAGCAAUUCUGUUUUUGUUUUUUAACAUGCAUUUAAUUGUACCAUUUCCUUUAAACCUUCUACUGGCCACCAGAUAAAGAACAGCUUCUUGACAUAGCCUUGAUUCAAAGUCCUUGGUUCCAAUUAUGCUUCCAGCCUAAUCGGUAGUCACAUUGGACCACCCCUUCCUGCCUCUACUCUCCCUGCCUUUGAGUGUUAGCUCUGCAACCUAAAGUGGCUGCCGUUCUCUUCUGUUCUUCCUCAUUUUUUUCAACCAUCACUGACUACUGCCUAGGGCACAAGCACAUAUGAAUGAAAACCUGGUUACUGCUCUGUGUUCCGAGAGCACUUUUAACAGAUUUCAGCCAUAGCAUUUGACACAGUAUAUACUCUUCUCUCUUUUUGAACGAUGACUAAAGAAGAAAUUCACGUGUACUAUUCACUCUCAUGUGGUAUGUACUUACUACCUAGUACUUUACCCUUUUCCUAUCCCAUUCAGGAAAGUAUAUCUGAAUUCAAGUGAGUGAAAGUGUGGUUGUAAUUCAGCAUAAUCUUAAAUUUACUUAUUUUUUUUAAAAGGGCAUGAUUAGCAAUCUACUGGACUUUAAUAAAUUCUAUACCUUACACUAAGUAUACUUUAACAGUAUUCAUGAUAUACCUUAUAUCUGCUGAUGACAAACUUAACAUGUCAUUGAUGGAGAUACACUGAUUUUAGAACAUUGCACUGUAUGUAUUAUAGCUGUUUGUCCCCCUAGAUUAUUUCUUGAGAACUGUAGCUACUAAAUUAAACUUAAAGUGCAUUGCCAGGGAAUACUCACACCCUCUGCUGGCAUUAAUAUGUUCUCUUUGGGCCCCUACAUUAGAAAUACUACAGCAUGCCCUAGCCGGUUUGGCUUAUUGGUGAGAGCAUCGAUCCCUGGCCCUGACUGGGGCUGUGUGCAGGAGGCAACCAAUUGAUGUGUCUCUCUCACACUGAUAUUUCUCUCUCUGUCUCUGCCCUUUUUUUCCACUCUCCCUAAAAAUCAAUUGAAAAAUAUUUGGGGUGAGGAUUAACAAACAAACAACAAGAAAAUACUAUAACACAGUAAUAAAACUGAAAGGUUAAAGUCAGCGGUACAUGGACAGGCUAAAUAGCCAUCUCAGACAGUGAUUAAAGAAAAUUGAAUUUAUUUAAGGAAAAGGGGAUAUCCAAAGGGAAGGGCUACACAGAGAAAAGGAGAUCUUGGAGACAGGUUCAGGAGGUUAGCCGGAGGUUACCCGCUGCCCAUUGCUCCCGUGGUUGCCAAGUCUCCUUGGGUCCCUUAGAGGUUAGGUGAUAUGUGCCUGUGGGGGAAUGGUGCAGGCAUGCUCCUUGGAGGGAGAGCAUGCAUUGCACUGGGUCCCUUUGUCUUGAGUGUAUUUAUCUCUCUCUUGCAGGUAGAAAUCUUAGGGGAGGUCUCAGGGGAGUAUCUCAAUGGAAUAUUCAUCAGCUUUCCUGGGGUGUUCCUUCAGGGUUGUGGUCUCCAUUGAAUUGUCAGUGCCAGGGCAGGGGAUUAUUAGUUAAUGUAGUUGGUUGUAAGGCAGCCCUGGCAUCACUCAUCUGGCCUAGAUGUUAUCUUUAGGGAGGAAAAGGUCAGGGGGUCUGAAAGAUGCCAGGUCCAAAACCACAUGACCAUUGAUAUGCUAGGGGAGGACAGGUUACCCUGUGGUGGAGGUUCUUGUUUUCCCAGUUUGCCCCUUGCUAGGCACCUGGAGCUUUCUGCCCUGGUGAGUUUCUGUACCUGGCCCAUCUUCCUUGCUCUGUUCAUGGCUAACAAAAAUGUCAUGCAGAUUUCUUAUAACAAGACUGAGAUUGCUUUAUCUUGUUCUUAUGUUCACUUUCACUAUUCUGAUUCUUUCUCCCUCUUAACAGUGUAUCCAUCAUGUUUGGAAUAAGGCAUCGAGUAAACAUGUGAUGCAAUUUUCUUUACCUGUUGUAAUUUUAGUGAACUCUAUGUAAUAUAUAUAAAGUUUGUGGCUUAAUCAGUUUAAAGCUAUUACUUAAAAAAUUCUAGAAAUUAACGUUGAUGGAAACAUUUCUUUAUCUUCAGCUAUUACUAUGCUGCAAAUCUAAAGGAAACAAAUAGAGCUCUAAGUUUUACAUUCACUACACUAAAAUAUGGUCAGGAAAAAUUCCACUUGAAUUCUUUUAUAAGCGCAAUGGGAGGGUUUAGUGGCCUCAUUUUUGAUGAUUGCUUCCUUACAUAAUUUGUUAUGAAAGAAUGCUUCUAGGUAAAUCAUCUCUCCAGAAUGCUUGAGAUUUGUUCUAUUCUGCUUGGGAAGGGUUAAGAGGAGACAACAUCCUGUCAAAGACCUUGUUUUUAAUUUUGCUUCUCACACUGGCACAGAUCCUGCUAAGAGCAGCUCAGAUUAGUUCAGAAAACCUUUGAAGAGAUUUAAGAUGUCCUUCAGCCAGUUUGAAGGUUUUUGUCUUGCAAAUCCAGUACUAGGGCGCCUGCAGGCAUCUCGACCCUUGCUGUGCUGCUGAUGCAGCUCAAGGUCACACUAACCCGCCCUGUGACAUUCAACAACAACAAAAAUUAUGCAGUGAAACUGCUUCAGCACUCAGCCAACCAACAACUUCCUUUAGUGAGGAACUAAGGAUGAAGUAUUUUCCCCCCCUCGUUUUCUUUUUUUGGGGGCACUGUGCAUUUUUGCUGUAGGAAAUAAUCCCGGAUUUCUGGUGUGUGUGAUGACAAGGUCAUUUCUUAAUUAGAACACAUGUAAAGAACAAAGCUAAAUGGCUUCAAAACAGCUUUGUAGUUGAUGGAGAGGAUUUAAAUUAUUUAAAGAGAUAGUCACCCAUGUAUGAUGGAAGCUGAAUUCUAAAGGCAUUAACUCCUUCAUCUCUGUCUACUUGCUAUUUAUUUCUUUGAAUUCCUUAUGUAUGACUUUAGAAGGUUGCCUUCUAAAAUUUAAGAAAAUUUAUAAAUGUCCAUUCUUUUAAAAGGGUAAAACAUUAUUUAUAUAUCAAAUUCUCAGAUAUCUUUUAAUGGAGAUGUUUUCUCCCCAUGACAUUUAUCUCCUAGAAAUGUUACCAAGUAGCUUGAGUAGGAAUGAAGAAUUUUAAACUUUUCCCUCUGGUAACUGAUUUAUGUAUAACAUGUUGGAGGAGAUUGUGUAAAGUGCUUCUUUACUGCCUCACCCUCUAGUUCCUCACUUUUACCCUUUUGUGAUUUAGAAUUCUGAGUGAGCACAUCACCCCUGCUUCUUUAGAAAUUAUACCACAUAUCCUUCAGGUUUCUCAGCUUUCACAGAAGUGAUUUAGAAAGACACAUGCUUUUUUUUUUUAGGGAAAAAUGUAAAUUUUGUUUAAAAUAGACUUCAAUAAAGUUGUUUCUGAACAUACACAACUUUGUGAUGACCCAAGGAAACAAUGUCCAUAAACACUUAAUGGCUAUAUUGGACCCUCUUUGCUUUGUGGGACUUUUUUCCCCAUUUUGAUCCUCCUUUGUUGCCUGUGGUGCUAACUCCCAAAGACAUUAGUUGGAUAGAUUCCAAAUGGAUUGGCUUUCUAUGCUUGAGACAAUGCAUGUCACCUCUGUAGGA